rfam:Pseudanabaena biceps PCC 7429 scaffold_00009, whole genome shotgun sequence.
UCAAGAUGCUAGGAGUGUCUGUGAAAACCAGACUGAGAGCAAAUCCUUAGAACCUGAACCGAUUGACAUCGGCGUAGGAAAGCACAUUAUUUGAGGA